UACGGGGGGGGCAAGCGUUGUUCGGAAUUACUGGGCGUAAAGGGCUCGUAGGUGGCCAACUAAGUCGGACGUGAAAUCCCUCAGCUUAACUGGGGAACUGCGUCCGAUACUGGAUGGCUUGAGUUUGGGAGAGGGAUGCGGAAUUCCAGGUGUAGCGGUGAAAUUCGUAGAUAUUGGGAAGAACACCGGUGGCGAAGGCGGCUAUCUGGCCCGUAAUUGACGCUGAGGCGCGAAAGCGUGGGGAGCAAACAGG
rnacentral:rRNA from 1 species